UACGUAGGGGGCAAGCGUUGUCCGGAUUUAUUGGGCGUAAAGAGCGUGUAGGCGGCUAGAUAGGUCCGUUGUGAAAACUCGAGGCUCAACCUCGAGACGUCGAUGGAAACCAUCUGGCUAGAGUCCGGAAGAGGAGAGUGGAAUUCCUGGUGUAGCGGUGAAAUGCGCAGAUAUCAGGAAGAACACCCGUGGCGAAGGCGGCUCUCUGGUACGUGACUGACGCUGAGGCGCGAAAGCGUGGGGAGCGAACAGG
rnacentral:rRNA from 1 species